GGUAGCAAUACCGCUGACGACCGGCGCACGGGUGAGUAACACGUAUCCAACCUUCCCAUAACUCGGGGAUAGCCUUUCGAAAGAAAGAUUAAUACCCGAUAGUACUUAUAUAAGGCAUCUUAAAUAAGUUAAAGAUUUAUUGGUUAUGGAUGGGGAUGCGUUCCAUUAGAUAGUUGGUGAGGUAACGGCUCACCAAGUCUUCGAUGGAUAGGGGUUCUGAGAGGAAGGUCCCCCACAUUGGUACUGAGACACGGACCAAACUCCUACGGGAGGCAGCAGUGAGGAAUAUUGGUCA
rnacentral:rRNA from 1 species